GGUUAAGCGACUAAGCGUACACGGUGGAUGCCCUGGCAGUCAGAGGCGAUGAAGGACGUGCUAAUCUGCGAUAAGCGUCGGUAAGGUGAUAUGAACCGUUAUAACCGGCGAUUUCCGAAUGGGGAAACCCAGUGUGUUUCGACACACUAUCAUUAACUGAAUCCAUAGGUUAAUGAGGCGAACCGGGGGAACUGAAACAUCUAAGUACCCCGAGGAAAAGAAAUCAACCGAGAUUCCCCCAGUAGCGGCGAGCGAACGGGGAGCAGCCCAGAGUCUGAAUCAGUGUGUGUGUUAGUGGAAGCGUCUGGAAAGGCGCGCGAUACAGGGUGACAGCCCCGUACACAAAAAUGCACAUGCUGUGAGCUCGAUGAGUAGGGCGGGACACGUGGUAUCCUGUCUGAAUAUGGGGGGACCAUCCUCCAAGGCUAAAUACUCCUGACUGACCGAUAGUGAACCAGUACCGUGAGGGAAAGGCGAAAAGAACCCCGGCGAGGGGAGUGAAAAAGAACCUGAAACCGUGUACGUACAAGCAGUGGGAGCACGCUUAGGCGUGUGACUGCGUACCUUUUGUAUAAUGGGUCAGCGACUUAUAUUCUGUAGCAAGGUUAACCGAAUAGGGGAGCCGAAGGGAAACCGAGUCUUAACUGGGCGUUAAGUUGCAGGGUAUAGACCCGAAACCCGGUGAUCUAGCCAUGGGCAGGUUGAAGGUUGGGUAACACUAACUGGAGGACCGAACCGACUAAUGUUGAAAAAUUAGCGGAUGACUUGUGGCUGGGGGUGAAAGGCCAAUCAAACCGGGAGAUAGCUGGUUCUCCCCGAAAGCUAUUUAGGUAGCGCCUCGUGAAUUCAUCUCCGGGGGUAGAGCACUGUUUCGGCAAGGGGGUCAUCCCGACUUACCAACCCGAUGCAAACUGCGAAUACCGGAGAAUGUUAUCACGGGAGACACACGGCGGGUGCUAACGUCCGUCGUGAAGAGGGAAACAACCCAGACCGCCAGCUAAGGUCCCAAAGUCAUGGUUAAGUGGGAAACGAUGUGGGAAGGCCCAGACAGCCAGGAUGUUGGCUUAGAAGCAGCCAUCAUUUAAAGAAAGCGUAAUAGCUCACUGGUCGAGUCGGCCUGCGCGGAAGAUGUAACGGGGCUAAACCAUGCACCGAAGCUGCGGCAGCGACGCUUAUGCGUUGUUGGGUAGGGGAGCGUUCUGUAAGCCUGUGAAGGUGUGCUGUGAGGCAUGCUGGAGGUAUCAGAAGUGCGAAUGCUGACAUAAGUAACGAUAAAGCGGGUGAAAAGCCCGCUCGCCGGAAGACCAAGGGUUCCUGUCCAACGUUAAUCGGGGCAGGGUGAGUCGACCCCUAAGGCGAGGCCGAAAGGCGUAGUCGAUGGGAAACAGGUUAAUAUUCCUGUACUUGGUGUUACUGCGAAGGGGGGACGGAGAAGGCUAUGUUGGCCGGGCGACGGUUGUCCCGGUUUAAGCGUGUAGGCUGGUUUUCCAGGCAAAUCCGGAAAAUCAAGGCUGAGGCGUGAUGACGAGGCACUACGGUGCUGAAGCAACAAAUGCCCUGCUUCCAGGAAAAGCCUCUAAGCAUCAGGUAACAUCAAAUCGUACCCCAAACCGACACAGGUGGUCAGGUAGAGAAUACCAAGGCGCUUGAGAGAACUCGGGUGAAGGAACUAGGCAAAAUGGUGCCGUAACUUCGGGAGAAGGCACGCUGAUAUGUAGGUGAAGUCCCUCGCGGAUGGAGCUGAAAUCAGUCGAAGAUACCAGCUGGCUGCAACUGUUUAUUAAAAACACAGCACUGUGCAAACACGAAAGUGGACGUAUACGGUGUGACGCCUGCCCGGUGCCGGAAGGUUAAUUGAUGGGGUUAGCGCAAGCGAAGCUCUUGAUCGAAGCCCCGGUAAACGGCGGCCGUAACUAUAACGGUCCUAAGGUAGCGAAAUUCCUUGUCGGGUAAGUUCCGACCUGCACGAAUGGCGUAAUGAUGGCCAGGCUGUCUCCACCCGAGACUCAGUGAAAUUGAACUCGCUGUGAAGAUGCAGUGUACCCGCGGCAAGACGGAAAGACCCCGUGAACCUUUACUAUAGCUUGACACUGAACAUUGAGCCUUGAUGUGUAGGAUAGGUGGGAGGCUUGGAAGUGUGGACGCCAGUCUGCAUGGAGCCGACCUUGAAAUACCACCCUUUAAUGUUUGAUGUUCUAACGUUGACCCGUAAUCCGGGUUGCGGACAGUGUCUGGUGGGUAGUUUGACUGGGGCGGUCUCCUCCUAAAGAGUAACGGAGGAGCACGAAGGUUGGCUAAUCCUGGUCGGACAUCAGGAGGUUAGUGCAAUGGCAUAAGCCAGCUUGACUGCGAGCGUGACGGCGCGAGCAGGUGCGAAAGCAGGUCAUAGUGAUCCGGUGGUUCUGAAUGGAAGGGCCAUCGCUCAACGGAUAAAAGGUACUCCGGGGAUAACAGGCUGAUACCGCCCAAGAGUUCAUAUCGACGGCGGUGUUUGGCACCUCGAUGUCGGCUCAUCACAUCCUGGGGCUGAAGUAGGUCCCAAGGGUAUGGCUGUUCGCCAUUUAAAGUGGUACGCGAGCUGGGUUUAGAACGUCGUGAGACAGUUCGGUCCCUAUCUGCCGUGGGCGCUGGAGAACUGAGGGGGGCUGCUCCUAGUACGAGAGGACCGGAGUGGACGCAUCACUGGUGUUCGGGUUGUCAUGCCAAUGGCACUGCCCGGUAGCUAAAUGCGGAAGAGAUAAGUGCUGAAAGCAUCUAAGCACGAAACUUGCCCCGAGAUGAGUUCUCCCUGACUCCUUGAGAGUCCUGAAGGAACGUUGAAGACGACGACGUUGAUAGGCCGGGUGUGUAAGCGCAGCGAUGCGUUGAGCUAACCGGUACUAAUGAACCGUGAGGCUUAACCUU
rnacentral:rRNA from 1 species